rnacentral:rRNA from 1 species
AUUGAACGCUGGCGGCAGGCCUAACACAUGCAAGUCGAACGAGUGGCGGACGGGUGAGUAAUGUCUGGGAAACUGCCUGAUGGAGGGGGAUAACUACUGGAAACGGUAGCUAAUACCGCAUACCAUCGGAUGUGCCCAGAUGGGAUUAGCUAGUAGGUGGGGUAAAGGCUCACCUAGGCGACGAUCCCUAGCUGGUGUGAGAGGAUGACGAGCAACACUGGAAUUGAGCCACGGUCCAGACUCCUACGGUAGGCAGCAGUGGGGAAUUUUGUACAAUGGGCGAAAGCCUGAUGCAGCCAUGCCGCGUGUGGGACGAAGGCCUUCGGGUUGUAAAGCACUUUCAGCGAGGAGGCGUUACUCGCAGAAUAAGCACCGGCUAACUCCGUGCCAGCAGCCGCGGUAAUAC